ensembl:misc_RNA Metazoa_SRP Metazoan signal recognition particle RNA
GCUGGGUGUGGUGGUGUGUGCCUGUAGUCCCAGCUGCUUGGGAGGCUGAGGCAGGAGAAUCACUUGAACCCAGGAGGUGGAAGUUGCAGUGAGCUGAGAUCGUGCCACUGCACUCUACCCUGGGUGACAGAGCGAGACUCUGUCUCUA